rnacentral:rRNA from 1 species
AGUGAACGCUGGCGGUAGGCCUAACACAUGCAAGUCGAACGGCAGCACAGUAAGAGCUUGCUCUUACGGGUGGCGAGUGGCGGACGGGUGAGGAAUACAUCGGAAUCUACUUUUUCGUGGGGGAUAACGUAGGGAAACUUACGCUAAUACCGCAUACGACCUACGGGUGAAAGCAGGGGAUCUUCGGACCUUGCGCGAUUGAAUGAGCCGAUGUCGGAUUAGCUAGUUGGCGGGGUAAAGGCCCACCAAGGCGACGAUCCGUAGCUGGUCUGAGAGGAUGAUCAGCCACACUGGAACUGAGACACGGUACAGACUCCUACGGGAGGCAGCAGUGGGGAAUAUUGGACAAUGGGCGCAAGCCCGAUCCAGCCAUACCGCGUGGGUGAAGAAGGCCUUCGGGUUGUAAAGCCCUUUUGUUGGGAAAGAAAAGCAGCAGGUUAAUACCCCGCUGUUCUGACGGUACCCAAAGAAUAAGCACCGGCUAACUUCGUG